ACUCUAUAGAAUUUAAAUAUGCAAUACAAAGAUAUGAUUCUACACAGAUCUAAAAGGAACAAGGAUAGUUUGGUAGCCCUCCGAAACCGAUCAGUUCUUCAGAUAAGAACGUUGCGACGCUAUCAAAUUUCGUUCGAUAACCACUGAUAAUCGGAUGAACGGUAGGCGAAUGGAAGGGUAAUCUGUUUGCGCACUGAUGAGAAUUGGUACCUAUAUAAGCUCCCGUGAGGAGUUUGCAAAUAACACCCGAAACUAAUCAUGGCUUCAAAGGUUGUGCUAACGUUACUCGUCGUAGUAUCUUAUGGAGCUUCAGUUUCUGCGCUGGAAUGCAUGAAGUGUUCGAGCAAUGAUGAUAGCGCAUGCCAAUCGGCUCAAUCGACAACCUCUUGGACAUGUCCUGACAAAUCCGAGUUUAAUUUGACUGCGUGGUGUUAUUCCGCCGAGGUAAUGUUGGAAAUAGGUGGCCAACACGAAUACAAAAGAAAUUGCGCAUGGACAAGCGGUAGGAAUAUCUGCUCCAUGUUGAGAGAUACUUACUCAGUUGUUAAUCAAUGUAAUACUUGUCGUGAGAACAGAUGCAACAAUUCUCCAAUGAAUUGACCAAAAAAUGGAUCCCUACGCAUUUUGUUAUUUAUUCUGUCAGUCAUGUCGUGCAAAAGGAGCAAUAAAUAAGUUUACUACAUGUGUUA